rnacentral:rRNA from 1 species
GUCCACACGGUAAACGAUGAAUACUCGCUGUUUGCGAUAUACAGCAAGCGGCCAAGCGAAAGCGUUAAGUAUUCCACCUGGGGAGUACGCCGGCAACGGUGAAACUCAAAAGGAAUUGACGGGGGCCCGCACAAGCGGAGGAACAUGUGGUUUAAUUCGAAGCAACGCGAAGAACCUUACCUGCUCUUGACAUCUCCCUGACCGGCAAGUAAUGUUGCCUUUCCUUCGGGACAGGGAUGACAGGUGGUGCAUGGUUGUCGU